rnacentral:misc_RNA from 1 species
AAAUGCGAUAAGUAAUGUGAAUUGCAGAAUUCCGUGAAUCAUCGAAUCUUUGAACGCACAUUGCGCCCUCUGAUAUUCCGGGGGGCAUGCCUGUCCGAGCGUCAUUGCGAACCCCUCAAGCACGGCUUGUGUGAUGGGCCCUCCCGCGUCUUGGUCGUCAAGACGGGCCCGAAAUGCAGUGGCGGCUUCGCGGUUAUCCGAUCAGCCAGAGCGUAUGGGGACUUUCUCUCUGUCACACGCCCGCGGCGCGGACCGACGCCUGUCGACCUUCAUUCAUCGUUUUCUCGGUUGACCUCGGAUCAGGUAGGGAUACCCGCUGAACUUAAGC